GGCUAGUACUGCUAACUUUGCAUUGCCUCCUAACAAGUUGUGCACUUUCAGAAGAGCUAUGUUCAAGUGAAGAUGACUGUUCAGAAUUUGAAAACUGCGUAUUGGGUUAUUGCAAGUGCAAUUUGGAUUAUGGAGUGACUGCUUGCUCGAACUGUAAGGAAAGAAUACUAGAUUCUAUUAUAUCAAUAUAUUUGUUAUUAAUACGUUCCAAUUUAGCCAAAGAUCUGAUACUGAAAAGGUAUAAAGAACCAAAUGCGUAUGCUGUUAUUCGCACUUUUCAACACAAAUCAUUUGACGAAUGCCUUAGAACUUGUCUCAUUUCGGAAAGCUCCCUAUGCGUUGGAAUUUUAGUAAAAGACAACUUUAACUGCAGCAUUCUCUCUUCAAUUGUAUUUCCUUUAAUAGACCUUGAUUCCGAUACGUUGGUUAUUAGAAAAGGUAGAUAAGCAACAGUAAAAUCAUUCAUGCAUUCAUUACUUCGUUCGUUCGUCCGUUCAAUCAAUCAGCCCUUUAUUCAUUCCUAACUCUAACAAAUACUUAGAUAAAAGAGCUGGAGUUUGCGGUGCUAACGAUAAUGUACAACCAACUCUCAACUAUUGUUUCAUAUUCCUAUGGAAUUUGGCUGGCUGCCCAAAUAAACAAUUUGAUCCUACGCAACAUGAAAAGUCAAUGACUAUUAGGGAGUUCAGCCAAUACGCAGAAACGGUAUACACGAAUAGCAGCAAAAGAUCGGCUCAAGACGGAAAUGGCAAUUAUUAUAGAACACUCUGUUUCGGUUCAAGAAGUUUCAAUCAUCAAAAUGCAGCGUUUGGCAGGCAAGUUUUAUAUUUGGGCGGAUUCACCGACCCGAAAGAUCAUCCAAAUCACGCGGUAGACGGUCUACGUCACAGCAAUACAUCACUAGGAGCGUGCUCUUUGCUAAAUUCGCCUAGUGGAUUGAAUGAAGUAUACAUUAGCGUACGGCUUAUUGGAAUUCAUUCUGUAAACAAAGUUGUCAUUUGGCCAACUAAUCAUCCAACCAAUCAACUAUUUAACAUUUAUACAUUGCCUUACUCUCAUACGUGUCGAAACAACGUUCUACUUGAAUACGAUGAUACGUCAUCGUCACCACCGCCAUCAACAAAAGUGUUUUGCGAAAAUCCUCGACCUGAGAAGAAUCCUAGAGUUACGUUUUACCAAAUUUCGCAAAUCAAACAAAUUCACCUUUGCGAAAUAGAGAUAUUUUCUGCCAAUAUUGCUUUUAACAAACCAGUCGGUUGUAGAUAUGCAUUAGAACCGCCGGAAAUGGUUAAUGACGGAGACUUGAACACCAAGUCGAUUAUUGAAAUUGGAAAAUCUUACUGGCUGUCAAUUAAUCUGCUCGCCUACUAUACAAUCUACGGUUUAGACUGUAAAUUUAAUUUCACAUACUUGAAUCUGCCAACAGAGAUCACCGUUGGAAUAUCGACACAAAAUCCUUCGAUUGCCUUUAAUCCCUUGGAAAAUAGUUUCUGCGCCGAAAUCAAUUCAUAUAGUUCUGUCGGAGACGAUCUGUUUAGAUCGUUAUUAUGCCCGAAAGGUGGCGUCGAUGGUCAAUUUGUUAACUUUUACUCCACUUCUACUGAACCUCAGUUGGUUGAUAUUUAUGAAAUUGAAAUAUUUGGCCUAUAUUUGAGAUCUUUGUAUCUAAAAGAAAGGAAUUUACUGUUGAAUAAACCGGCAUGGUCGUCUUCCUCGGUAGCAGUUGGCGAAUCGUCUUCUUUUAUAACGGAUGGAGUAUAUACUUUACCAUACAAAUCGAUUAAAGAGAGUAAUCCCUGGUCAAGAAUUGAUAUGUUUAAAACCUAUAGAAUACUCUUUAUCGCCAUUGUAAGCGAUCUUCGCCCAUAUCACAAGAAACUGAAUAGCGUCAGCGGACUCGUUACGAACAAUCGUGGUUUCGAUAUUAACCAGAAAGAAUUAUUUAGUCAAGUAUGCUUUACAAACACUGAAAACUUUCUAAGUGGCGAAUAUAGAGGUUGGACAUGCGACCAACCGCUUCCGGUUGGACGCUACGUUGUUGUUUAUUUACCUAUCUCCGUUGGCACUCUUAUAGUUCGAGAAAUUGAGGCCUAUGGAGAGGAAGUUGGUGACGAUGAUAAUUUCUCUCCUUUACCAAUCCUUAAAGCCGAUAGAUAUAGCAAAAAUAUUGACUAUAUUAGCUCUGCAAACAACCAAGAUUUGUUUCCUCUGAAAGCCAUCGACGGCUCAUCCUCUAAUCUCAUCUUUCAAUCUAAUUUUAUUUCGUGUAGUGAAUUUUUAACGAUUGAAAAUGUCGAAGCUAGAUUUACUGUUUAUCUUAAUGAUACUUACCUUAUUUAUCAAAUAGGCGUUCUUCUUCCUUCCAACAGCGGUAAUUAUUGCCUGACAAACAACAAAUCAUUGAAGUUACUAAACUAACAUGUCUUUUUCUUUUCUAUUUUGGAUUAUUAUCACCCAAAAUCAUCAUCUUCAUCAUUAUCGUCUUCUUCUUCUUCUCCUUCUUCGUCAUUAGCAUAUUUUAAAGGAGUUCAAAUAUCGGUAGAAAAUUCAGCUAUGCAAUUCCAUCGGCAAAUUUGCGAUUAUGAAGUGGCUGCAAUGGCAACAUACCUUCUAUACGAUUGCAAAUUGAUUGGCGAUCAAGUGUCCUUUUAUAAAAUUAGCGGCAAUUAUAUAUUACACAUAUGCGAAAUUUACGUUCUGGGCAAUGAAAAAGUCUACAUUUCAAACGGUUUGAAUAGAUGAUUUUGUUGUUUUUUUGUUUGUUCUCCGUUUAUUCAUCCCCAAUCCCUUAACUUACUAAACCAUUGAUAGAUCACAACACAAACAACCUUAUGAUUUUGAUUGAGGAGAUAGUAGCAAGAAAAAUAUUUUCUGCCUUAUCCAAAUUAACGUCUGUGCCCUUUUUUCUUUCUCCGCAAUUAGAUAACGACAGCGUCGAAAUGGCGAAAGUGGUUUACAAAAUCACCUCCAACAAUCAAUCCCAACUACUCAGCAACGACGUUUGCGUCUUUUCUACAAAAGAAAUCUACUUUCAACUACCAGUUUAUCGUAAAUUUAUUGCAGUUGGAUUUACAGUUGGGCAGACGGCCGACUUUGCAACUGGUCUAAAUAUUUUUGGCAUGCACCAUAAAGGAAAUAUAUUGUGUAUUAGCUUUAGAAACGUCAUUGCGGUCGCCUCACCUUCCACUUUCACUUUUAACUGUUCAACAGAAAUAGUUGCGAAAUACGUGGCAAUCUACUCGAGCAACGAAUAUUUGAAAGCCUGCAACUAUUACGUAAUAGCUAAGCAGGCGAAAGUCGAUAUUCUAGCAUUCAAUCGGAUGGAGAAAAUGAAUAGGCGGAUAAAGACCAAUCUACUAUAUUUCGCCAUAAACAACGUAGGCUUUUUGGAAUGCUAUUAUUCUUGUAUAGAAGACAACGAAUGUGAAAGUAUGAUGUAUUCAACUACAGAAGAAAGAUGUCAUUUUUCCCGUUUUCGAAUGUUGCACAAUGUAUCAUCUCAAUUAACUGAAAAUACAAUGAACGAUAUUUUCUAUAUAUUGUACACGUACGAAAUAGAUUUCUCAACUCAUUGUUCCCCCAUCUAAAUGAUGAAAAAACAUUGCCACUUUUCAAUAUUCAAUCAUGUUUGUUUGUUUGUAUUGUGUUCAAAAAUAUUUUAUCAAUCAAUAAUACAAACAACUUGCAUGUAUCUUUUCCAUAUUUUUCAAAUGGUUAAACAUCUCUAGCCGUUGAUUUUCACUCAAUGAACACCUUGUAUAUUUCAACAUUUUCAAGCAUUUCGACGAACUCAUCAAUCCAUUUAAUAUCGCUUCUAAUUCUAAAUUAAUAUUCACGCCAAUCAAAUUAACUUGUUCUAAACAGGUGCAAGCUGCCAAUAAGUCGCUCAAAUGUCUCAAAUUUUCAAUCGUUAGUCCGCAUCCCUCAAAAGAAAUAGUCGAAAGUGACAAACACGAACGUCUGAGGCCUUGGCACACUAACCUAAAUCCUUCGCCAAAAUUACCGUUCAUACUUAAAUUGACUCGUUGCAACGACUGGCAUUCGUUAAAGAGAUUACCCAACCAAUAGUCUUUUUCUCCGCUAAGCCGACAACCCUUUAAACUAACAAUUGAGAGAGAAUAACGAGAAUUUUUCAAUCCGUUGCAUAUCAUCUCAAAUCCUUUGCCGAGAUUAUCGUUUUCGCUCAAGUUAAUUUCGCUUAAUGAAUUACACUCGAAUAGGAAAUUGCCCAACCAACAGCUCUGCUCCCCGCUCAAAUUGCAACCUUCAAAAUCAACACUUGUAAGAGAAUGAGCCGACGAUAUCAAUCCCAUACAUAUUCUCUGGAAUCCCAUAUCAAACUGUUCGUUAGAGCUUAGGUGUAUCCGUUGCAACAUUAUACAUUCCACCAACAGAUUGCCUAACCAAACACUUUGGUCUCUGCUCAAUUCGCAUUUAUACAACGAAAUGUUCAACAGAGAACGACACGAAGAUUUCAAACCAAAACAUAUCUUCUCGAAUCCCAAUUUCCAGACUGGAUUCCUAUCUAGAAAGACGGUUUGUAGCGAGUCGCAUCGCUUCAAGAGUUCACUCAACCAAACGCAUUGUUCUGCACUUAAGCUACAAUCCGAAAAAUCGACAGUCAACAGGCGAUGCGCCGACGAUCUUAGGCCCUGACUUAUAUUCCUAAUUCCUUCUCCGCAGUUCCUAUUCUCCGCCAUAAAAAAGUCUUCCAGCGAAGAGCAUUCGUUUAGAAACUCUCCUAGCCAAAUGCAUUGCUGUUCGGAAAAAUCGCAAUUAGACAAGUUGAUCCGUUGAAGACAAUGAGCGGACGACUUUAAUCCUUCGCAUAUCUUUCGGAACGACUUUCCCCAUUCUCCAUUACUAGACAAAUCCACAGAACGUAAGGCAGUGCACUGCUCAAAAAAGUUCCCCAACGCCAAGCAACUUUCAUUUUCCCACAGAUUCAUCGAACUGAGGUCGAUCUUCAACAAGGAAUUGCCAAAGGCAGUCAAACGACUCAGCACUUGCCCAAUCAUGUACGGUGACAUUUCAUUAUUAUUAAACUUGCAAUCCUGCAAUGAAUGGCAUUCCGCCAACAAAUCACAAAGCCACGAACACUGCAAUUCGGUAUGGAGACAUUGGUCACAGUUAAUGGCGGAUAGUGUACGACUAGACGACGAUUGUAAUCCAUUGCAAAUCAUCCGAAACCCCCUACCGAGAUUGAUGUUGCCGAAAAGAUUAAUUUCGGUUAAGCUGUCGCACUUCCUUAAAAAAUCGCCGAACGACGAGCACUGUUCUUCGACUAGGUUGCAAAAUGAAAAGUCAAGUGUCCUUAACGAUUCGGACGACUGCCUUAAACCGUUGAAUAUUUCUGCAAAUCCAUCUCUCAACUCUCUAUUCGCUCUGAUGUUAACCGCUCUCAACUUGGUGCAAACUUUGAAUAAAUUUCCCAAGAAAUAGCCGUGUUGACGCGUUAAACAACAGUUGGAAAAGUUGAUUUCCAACAGGGAAUUAGCGGACGACUUUAAUCCAUUGCAAAUGUAUUGAAAACUAUAAUCCAUAUUGUCAUUGCUUGUCAUAGCGAACGACUGUAUGGAAUGGCAGUUGGAUAACAACGUACCUAAUCGCUUACAUUCCUCCUUUCCAAAUAGGCAGCGUUCAAAUUUCAAACUUUUUAUUGAUAAAGGUAUCGGUAGAUUGAACAUUGAAUGAAAGUUAAUUAAUGACAAACUCUCAAUUGAACAGUUAUUUAGAAAACGGAAGUCCUCAAUUCCAUUGAAUUUACGUUUUUUCAAAGAAAUGUGGUCCAAUUGAAAAAAACAAACAUUUUCAAAGAAAACCAACUGUUUCUCGACGAAUGGUUUUUGCCCAUUUAUCGCAAAUUGAAAUAUUUCAGAUGCAAGAUAACUUGGUAUAUAUAAGGAAUUCUUUUCACGUAACCCAUUCAACAAAUGUAGACUUUCUCCUACACAAUUCAAUGCCAACAGCUUUAAAGAACUUACAGUCAUUUCAAACAAUUGACAACAAUACCAACAUUCAAAUAUCUCAACCAGUAAAUGUACUUGAUACUAUCUUAUCGUUGUCCCGCGGAAGGGACAGUGUCCAAAAUUUUGGAAUUCUAUUUGAUAAUAUGACGAAAAUUUUUGUCCAAUGUUUACGUUUCUAACUUUUCCACACCAGUUAGGCUUGGGAUAAAAUCAGAAAAAGGCCACCACAGUCGGUUCUCGUUAGAUUCGGGAAAGUACCUCGACGCCAACAGAGAAAACUAUUAAUGUUUGCUUAGUAUCGCUCAGAGAGAGAGAGAGAGAGAGAGAGAGAGUCUGAAUUGAAUGGAAACAUAGAGAAUAGAGAUAGUUUACUCGUAAUUUAGAAGGCCUAGAAACAAAUGAAAUUAUAUUAGAUAAUUCUAUUAUUAAAAGCCAUGAUCCUGAAUUGGGAAUUCUGAAUUCUCCUUGAAGAGAAUUCUCGUUUCCUGAACAAAACUAUCUUGAAACUUUCCUAUGUGAUAGGAAGAAGAGAACGAUCUAACCCUAUAUCAUCACCAGUUGGCGUCUCUUCAAAGCACAACAAUAAACAGGAAGCGCGCAUUUGUUGAAUUUAUUGAGCGGGAAUGAUAAGAAUUGAAUGAAAAUAAUUAAAAGUCUUACACUGAGAAAAGAGUAGCAGCAAAAACAUAGACUUUUUCUCCAGUCAACAUUCACUUAAAGAAGAUAAUCAACGAUAAAACAAGAAAUGUUUGUCAGUUCAACAGCGCUGAAAGAGUUUCAAUUAAACAGUUGUUUGUGCACCUUGCAUAAUAGAUUGAUAAGGAGGCGGCGGAGAUUCUUCACCUCUAACGUUUGUCAUCCGAAUGCAGUCUUCGUAUCGUGGUGCUGGUAUUAUUGGGUGCAUUGAACUACGUCCUGCAGCGUAUCCCUCGUCCCUACUUUACGAGAAUAGAAUAGAAUGGAAUAGAUUAAGAAAAAACUGAAACAAACGAUAUACCUGUCUUGCAUUUCGUACUGUUCCGAUAAUCUUUCGAUAGUUCUGCCCGGCCAAAAGUAAUACGAGUAUUUUGUUAAGAUUGAUGAUUGGCGGCGAAGAGAGAAGAAGAAGAAGAAGACAAAUUAAUUAAAAAAGAAAACAACAAGAGAAAGAAAGAAAAGAGUAUACGUGUUUGUUUGUUUGUUUGUUUGUUUGUUUUUGUUUACCUUUCGUUGCCUGAAUGAUGAGGAUUUGAUCUAAUUGAGAUAACUAAAAUAUCAGCGUUUGGCGAAUUUCUUUGGCGUAAUUCUUGACAAACUCUAGAAACUUUACAAUAAUAAAUAAAUAGGACAAUUAGCUGAAAAGCAGCGAUUGCCGGAUAAAACGUCACAUAUUUUAGGAUAUGGAGGUGAGGCAGAAAUUCAGUCAAGCGAUUUGUUCUAUCAACAUAUAUACUGGCUAUUAUCAAUGAUAAUAGUUGGAGUGAAAGGCACAGAUAUAUACAAUAUUUUGUUAUUGUACUAUAUCUUUCAACAUUUAAAAGUUGCUUCAACACAAGAAUUCCCGAUAUGAGAAGAACAAAAUUACUAAAUACCAUUACGACAAGCCAUACUGAACAUAGUUUGAACAGGUUCCUAUAAAAAAAUUCAUGAAAUUUCGCCUGAAAAAUUUGCUCAUUCUAUUCAAAUAACAAAACACUCACAUUCCAUUUUCAUCUACAACCUCCGCUUCCUUACUUACGUUCAUCGCAAUCUCUCUUGCCUGACGCUUUGCCUGCCCGUAUUCAGCCAUCCACAAUGGGCCAACCAGUAAAUUUAUUAACACUAGUGGAUAGAACAACACCAUCAAUAACACGCUUUUCAGCAUAUUCCAGUUUGUGGUGUGUUUUGUUUGUUUGUUUGUUUGUUUGUUUGUUUGUUCGUUCUCUGAGGGAGAAAAGAAAAAAGGAUAGAUUAGCGCUAAUUUGUAGUAAUCCUUCCUCUUAUCCUUUUAAACGUGUAAAAAACAACUAUUGUACUUUGAUUGAUGUUUUAUACUGAGCUAUAGGCCUAGUUUUUUUGCGUUAUCUCUAAUCAAUUCAAUUGAUAAUUUGUUAUCAAGUAACAAUUAUUAAUAAAUUUUUAAUCAUCUGCCGACAAG
rnacentral:misc_RNA from 1 species